ensembl:lncRNA
CUUUGGGACAAUUUUAUUGCAAAAGAUACAGCAACUUGUAUUGAUAAGUUCAGAAUAGCUUGUUUAUGUUACAGAAGGAGUUCUGCUGCUUUCUUCAAACAAAUACACCGCUUCAAAUAUUUGUGAAGAUUUAUAUGUAAGUUAUCUUUUUUUUAAUAAAACACUAUUUAGAGACUUUAGAAAAUGGAAAGUAUUUUGAUUACUAUGAAAGAUGAAGGUUGAGAGGAGUGUUCUGUGCUUGCUUUUGUUAAUGGAAGGGUGUAUUCUUACAAGUUUUGAGGCUUACACUGAAGUUUACAGUGUUUAUGACAUCUAAGUGUAGGUGAGAGUUGGAUUAAACAUUAAACCACUUUGACACUUAGAUCUAACAAUUUCAAGGUCAUCCUGAGAAGUUAAUAAAAAUGCACUUUGGCAACCAAGUGCCAUAGUUGUUCUCUAAACUUAAGAUUUAAACAAUAAACCCUGAAGUGCCCUUUAUAAAUGCUUGACUGAUAGCAGUGCAACUUCCCUGUGAAAGAGCAUUUGAAAGCUGGCUAUCAUUGCUUGAAAUUUAUGCUUUCAGAAGAAAUUAAAAUGCAUAUCCUAAAGCACACGCGUGUGCUCUAACUGUUCCUAAUCCCACAGCUUUCUGUGCUGCGCUUUCGGCAGAGCACUGGGGAGUCUCUGCAGAGUGACCAGUCUUCCUUGCUGCAUGAGUACAGCCAGUAUGGAAAAAAAUAAUGCUGCAUUAAAAAUUAAAACACUGUUAAGAGUAGCUAAAAGUUAAGACUUAGGCCUUUUUCUCAGCUAGCCCCAAGUUAAACCCCAAGCAAACAGGUUUUCAGACAAUAAAUCUUGUGUCUGAACUGAAGUCCUCAGUAAAUACAGUUUAUGCAUUUGAGUUUUGUCCAGGCCGUGUUAUGUCUCUUCUUGACAGAGAAAGAUGCUUCCAGUAGAAUGGUAGUGAGGGAGAUGGAUCAGGAGAUGGGGGGUAUCAGGGCUGCUCUGCUUCUACCUAGCUCUCUAUCCUUUAUCUUUACUUUUUUGAAGCCAAGAAGCUAUCACCGUGGAAGUGCAGCAACACAGAUUAUAAUUAAAAACUCUGCAUACAAAUAUAUUUUAUGUCUUUGUUUUGGAAGUUGACAGUGCCCUGUGUCUUCUGUCUGGGUAGCAUUGUUGUGUUGAUGAUGAUCAGUAAAAGCUGGAACUGAAUGUUUCUUCUGAGGGGAAGAUCAAGAACUUUCCCUGUGUAAAACCACUGUUUAAUCCAGGAUUGGUUUGAAGGGUCCUCUUGAAGGGACCACAGCCUGGCUUAUGUUACCACACCAGGGAGAUCAUGUAAACUCUAACGUUCUUAUUAGUUUGCAUUGUGCUUACUUAAUGGGUAAUUUUUGGGCUACUUGAAUCAUAUUUCCAAACAUAACAAUUGUGCUACUUUUAUUGACAGGAAGGAGUCUCCCUUAUGACAAUUCAAUUCAAUUAACAUUUUAAUGUGAAUAAUAAACAUCCUGGGUCAUGGCUAUUAAAACCAUAAAUGCUAUUAAAAGCUUGCUUUGUGAGUAAGGUGUGACAUUCGAGUUUUAGUUCCUUCCCAGUUUGUGUUAGUUCCACAAGCCUGAUGUGGUGUGGCUUUGACUGCCAUAAGGUGCCUGAACAUGCACAUUUCUAUUGGCUCUGGAACUCCAUCCCUUUCCUUCGAUAACUUUGCUCAAUGAACAUAUUUUCUUAAAUUAUAUUGGAUGGAAACAUAACCAGCAACUGCUGCUUCCUAAUUAAAGCGCAGUUCUUUUGGCCCUCUUAAUGUGUCACUCCUCCCCUACUGACUAGUGAUAUGGCUAGUUCUUCCCUUCAGGAGCAGCUGUAUAUUUUGAACAAUCCAGGGCUGUCAUAGGUUCAUUUUGAAAUCAAUCCAUAAAACAGAAGUCAAUCCCAAAUCUGGAAAAGGGUGUCUAUAAAUGUUCAAAAUGCUGCUUUUCCCAGUGUAUAAUACAGAACUUCAGGUAAUUCCCUCUUAAAUCCUGUUAAUGGCUUUUGAGUAGCUCUCCUCACGCUAGAGACUGCUGUAAGCUGUUCUGAGCUGUGGUUUAACGAUAGAGCGGUGGGUCUCAAAUGCUUUUCUGAUUGGAAGCAACUUAAACCCGUGAUUUUUCUCAAAGAGUCUUCUCUGUCCUGGCAGCUCUCCUGUGGUCUUGCAGGCCUUGGGACGUACAAGAGUGGAGCAACAGAGCUAAAGUGAAAACACACUUCUCAAAAUCAAAUAUUAAUACAGUGCUGUAGGAGACUAGAUUCCAGUUCCUGCAUGUUUCUGCUUUGGGAUUUGGGGGCGUUAUUGGGGUUGACAAAUGACUGCAGGGUCUCACAGCUUGACUUGUUCCUCUCACUUGCUUUCCAGUCUCUGGGUUUGGAUAGAUCUCAAUGCUUGAGUUUACACUAGCUGAAGGCUUAAACUUACUGGCAAGACAGCUGUAUGGAGAGGGUGCCUGCUUUUAAGAAGGUACUCAAAUUUGAGUUCUGUUUCCCCUUCCCCCCAAAAAAGUGUCUGGUAUUUCAGCCCUGACCUGGGUGUCAUCUGGUGGGCAGUGCCACACAGAGGUGCUUCUGCUGCAGCAGCUGAGCAGCAAGGCUGCUCUCUGAAGGGACCUGGCCACUUCAGGAUGGAAGUGGUGCUUUUAAAGGAAGCCUGUGUGUGCCCAAAGGUGGGAAUUGGCCAAGCCAAGGCUCUGGACUGAAAGCAGCUUUUCAAACAGCUCCAGUUAUUUCCUCCAUGUUUACUGCCUCUUUCGCUAUCCAUCCAAAUCAGAGUUUCUGAAGCCUGCAAGGAAAGAAAAAUAUAAUCAAGUCUACACAGAGCGUUACCAUGCACAGGGACAGAGCUGCAAUGAACCUUGCUGACUAGAAAGUGCCAGAGAAAAACACCUCCAGUAUUUCUUGAACUGAAGGCUGGCAUUACUCCUGUGGCACUUGGUGUGCCUUCAGCUUGGUGCCC